AUUCAGCUGAGGAGUCCCAAAUAGGACAAAACGUUUAUCCUGGAU
rnacentral:hammerhead_ribozyme from 1 species